rnacentral:rRNA from 1 species
GAUGAACGCUGGCGGCGUGCCUAAUACAUGCAAGUCGAGCGAACAGACGAGGAGCUUGCUCCUCUGACGUUAGCGGCGGACGGGUGAGUAACACGUGGAUAACCUACCUAUAAGACUGGGAUAACUUCGGGAAACCGGAGCUAAUACCGGAUAAUAUAUUGAACCGCACGGUUCAAUAGUGAAAGACGGUUUUGCUGUCACUUAUAGAUGGAUCCGCGCCGCAUUAGCUAGUUGGUAAGGUAACGGCUUACCAAGGCAACGAUGCGUAGCCGACCUGAGAGGGUGAUCGGCCACACUGGAACUGAGACACGGUCCAGACUCCUACGGGAGGCAGCAGUAGGGAAUCUUCCGCAAUGGGCGAAAGCCUGACGGAGCAACGCCGCGUGAGUGAUGAAGGUCUUCGGAUCGUAAAACUCUGUUAUUAGGGAAGAACAAAUGUGUAAGUAACUAUGCACGUCUUGACGGUACCUAAUCAGAAAGCCACGGCUAACUACGU